rnacentral:rRNA from 1 species
AGAUAUGACGAUGGACAUUGCAAAGAGUGGCGAACGGGUGAGUAACACGUGGGAAACCUACCUCUUAGCAGGGGAUAACAUUUGGAAACAGAUGCUAAUACCGUAUAACAAUGACAACCGCAUGGUUGUUAUUUAAAAGAUGGUUCUGCUAUCACUAAGAGAUGGUCCCGCGGUGCAUUAGCUAGUUGGUAAGGUAAUGGCUUACCAAGGCGAUGAUGCAUAGCCGAGUUGAGAGACUGAUCGGCCACAAUGGGACUGAGACACGGCCCAUACUCCUACGGGAGGCAGCAGUAGGGAAUCUUCCACAAUGGGCGAAAGCCUGAUGGAGCAACGCCGCGUGUGUGAUGAAGGGUUUCGGCUCGUAAAACACUGUUGUAAGAGAAGAAUGACAUUGAGAGUAACUGUUCAAUGUGUGACGGUAUCUUACCAGAAAGGAACGGCUAAAUACGUGCCAGCAGCCGCGGUAAUACGUAUGUUCCAAGCGUUAUCCGGAUUUAUUGGGCGUAAAGCGAGCGCAGACGGUUAUUUAAGUCUGAAGUGAAAGCCCUCAGCUCAACUGAGGAAUUGCUUUGGAAACUGGAUGACUUGAGUGCAGUAGAGGAAAGUGGAACUCCAUGUGUAGCGGUGAAAUGCGUAGAUAUAUGGAAGAACACCAGUGGCGAAGGCGGCUUUUUGGACUGUAACUGACGUUGAGGCUCGAAAGUGUGGGUAGCAAACAGGAUUAGAUACCCUGGUAGUCCACACCGUAAACGAUGAGUGCUAGGUGUUUGAGGGUUUCCGCCCUUAAGUGCCGCAGCUAACGCAUUAAGCACUCCGCCUGGGGAGUACGACCGCAAGGUUGAAACUCAAAGGAAUUGACGGGGACCCGCACAAGCGGUGGAGCAUGUGGUUUAAUUCGAAGCAACGCGAAGAACCUUACCAGGUCUUGACAUCCCUUGACAACUCCAGAGAUGGAGCGUUCCCUUCGGGGACAAGGUGACAGGUGGUGCAUGGUUGUCGUCAGCUCGUGUCGUGAGAUGUUGGGUUAAGUCCCGCAACGAGCGCAACCCUUAUUACUAGUUGCCAGCAUUCAGUUGGGCACUCUAGUGAGACUGCCGGUGACAAACCGGAGGAAGGUGGGGAUGACGUCAAAUCAUCAUGCCCCUUAUGACCUGGGCUACACACGUGCUACAAUGGCGUAUACAACGAGUUGCCAACCCGCGAGGGUGAGCUAAUCUCUUAAAGUACGUCUCAGUUCGGAUUGUAGGCUGCAACUCGCCUACAUGAAGUCGGAAUCGCUAGUAAUCGCGGAUCAGCACGCCGCGGUGAAUACGUUCCCGGGUCUUGUACACACCGCCCGUCACACCAUGAGAGUUUGUAACACCCAAAGCCGGUGGGGUAACCUUCGGGAGCCAGCCGUCUAAAGUGGGACAGAUGAUUA